AGAGUUUGAUCCUGGCUCAGGACGAACGCUGGCGGCGUGCUUAACACGUGCAAGUCGAACGGUGAACCAGAGCUUGCUCUGGGGAUCAGUGGCGAACGGGUGAGUAACACGUGGGCAACCUGCCCCAGACUCUGGGAUAACCUCGGGAAACCGAUGCUAAUACCGGAUACGACCACUUCGGACAUCCGACGGUGGUGGAAAGUUUUUCGGUCUGGGAUGGGCCCGCGGCCUAUCAGCUAGUUGGUGGGGUAAUGGCCUACCAAGGCGACGACGGGUAGCCGGCCUGAGAGGGCGACCGGCCACACUGGAACUGAGACACGGUCCAGACUCCUACGGGAGGCAGCAGUGGGGAAUAUUGCACAAUGGGCGAAAGCCUGAUGCAGCGACGCCGCGUGAGGGACGACGGCCUUCGGGUUGUAAACCUCUUUCAGCAGGGACGAAGCGAAAGUGACUGUACCUGCAGAAGAAGCACCGGCCAACUACGUGCCAGCAGCCGCGGUAAU
rnacentral:rRNA from 1 species